rnacentral:rRNA from 1 species
ACACCCACGUAGCGGGCUAAGAGCUAUUUUAAGGGGGUACAGCCCCUUUAAAAAAGGAUACAACCUUCACUAGAGGAUAACCCCGCCCCCCUCCAAACCAGUGGGCCUUAAAGCAGCCACCCACAAAGAGUGCGUCAAAGCUCAUUAAGCAAAAAAUCCAAAAGCAAUGCGACUCCCUACACCCCUAGCAGGCCAACCUAUGGCAAUAGAUGAAUUAAUGCUAGAACGAGUAACCAAGGCACUACGCCUCCUUAAGCGCCAACCUAAUCCACCAUUAACAGCACAGCCACAAUACCAAACUCACCCUGACCGAACAUUGAACGCACCCUGUUGACCCGACCCAGGAGCGCACACCUAGGACGAUUAAAACCUGCAAAAGGAACUCGGCAAACCCAAGGCCCGACUGUUUACCAAAAACAUAGCCUUCAGCCAAACAAGUAUUGAAGGUGACGCCUGCCCAGUGACCCCACGUUUAACGGCCGCGGUAUCCUAACCGUGCAAAGGUAGCGCAAUCAAUUGUCCCAUAAAUAGAGACUUGUAUGAAUGGCUAAACGAGGCCCUAACUGUCUCCUGCAGGUAAUCAGUGAAACUGAUCCCCCUGUACAAAAGCAGGGAUAACCACAUAAGACAAGAAGACCCUGUGGAACUUCAAAAUCAAUAGCCACUAACAAAUCCCACCCCAAGCCCACCAGGCCCACUACCCAAAACAGCUGGCUAACAUUUUUAGGUUGGGGCGACCUUGGAGAAAAGCAAACCCUCCAAAAAUAAGGCCAAACCCCUUAACUAAGAGCAACCCCUCAACGUGCCAACAGCACCCAGACCCAAUAAAAUUGACCAAUGAACCAAGCUACCCCAGGGAUAACAGCGCAAUCUCCCCCAAGAGCCCCUAUCGACAGGGAGGUUUACGACCUCGAUGUUGGAUCA